GGAAGGGUCAGCAUGCUGAGUCCAAGGACCAACGUUCUGAUAUGUGUACUUAUGGACAGCCACGGACGUCCUGUGUUAACUGACGGACAGACACGGACACACACGGACAGCCACGGACAUCCUGUGUGUGCUGACAUAUAGCAUGGACAGGCACGGACGUCCUGUGUGUGCUGGCGGACACCCACGGACAUCCUCUGUGUAGAAACCCGUUAAAAAAAAAAAAGAAGAAAAGAAAAGAGUGGUCGAGUAUCUUUGUGGUGGUUAAGUCGCGGGCAAUAAGGAUCGAUCGAGAAUUUUUGAAGUACGAUGUGGUCGAAGAAUGGAUCGUGAGUGAACCAUGAGACAUAUUAAGCUGCUCUACCUUUCUUAGAAGAGUCUUAGAUUGAUCAGACGAAGUUUUUGGAAGAAUCACAUUUUUGGAAGCACGACGGUUUAGAAGCUCGACGUUUUUGAAGAUUGACGUUUCUUCAUCGCGAUGUUUUCUCGGAAUAUCUUCG
rnacentral:lncRNA from 1 species